rnacentral:lncRNA from 1 species
UAACCAAUCAAAUAAGCAAUUCCUGACUAACAGAGAGAUAAACAAAGAGAUUCAAAACCAGAUCAAGCAUUAAAGCAAACGACCUUCCACCACAAACCCUAACAAGCAGUAAAUCAAAAUCUGGAGAAAAGUACCAUCCAAACAACCAUAAAGCACCCAAAAACCCUAUCAACUAUGUAGAAAAACACCAUGGAUGAAGAAGCUUGACACUCUGAGCAUCGUACAACGGAAGGAUACAAGAUAGAACCCGCGACUUUUAACAAGUCUUUAGAAGGGUAGGUAUUGACGCGGUUCUAAGUUGUAGAUAUCACGAGUAGAAGACCUCCAGGUGAAUAAAAAUAAAGACUCAAAACCACAAAUUCAAAAACACCCAUAAAAUUUAUUGGGAUAUUACUGUAUAGUAUUAGUUAUUAUGUCCCUUUCAUGUACCAUACUAACUUUUUUU